GUUGCGUCGCGUCUGUCAAUAUCAACUACGUAUCAGUGAACUUUGACUGAAAUUGUUAUCGUAAAGUGGUUGUCUCGUCGUGAGAAUAGUAAUCCCAAGACUCUGAUCGACUAGAUCCACAGGGGAGUUCACAAAUAGCGUGAAGAACAGAAGAGGAAGUUGAACAAUUCACAAUUCCAGGGACCUAUGGGUUCGAUAGGUAGAAUGGGCGACAGAGGUGGUGGUGAUUACCGUAAUAAUCGGAAACAAUCACGUCCCAGUGACGAUGGCUGGAAGCCUGGAAUACCAUUCAGAAUAGUAAGGGUGACAAUCUCAAGUUAGAUGUGAAGCAACUUUGGAUACCCAAAGUGUCUGGAGAUGCUGAUCAAGCAGUCAUUAGUUCAGGCCCUGGAGGUAAGGGCACAACUUUUUGGAGGCUAAGAGCCUCAGGUGUCAUGCCUCAAUCGAUGAUCGGUGUUGUUGGUGGUGUUGCAUCGCAAGAUUAUCGAUCCAAUAGCUACCAAACCUUGGAAGACGACUCCGGAACCCAACAUGAAAGCGGCAAAGCACAUUAGCUGGAAGCUCUAGUGUGGGUGGUCCAUGAUGAUCGUGAGCUUUGACUCUCUUUGCUCACAGAACUCCGUCUGCUUGUGAAAACACCGUAAAGUCUACUGUGACAGAUGACGAGAUUGAGCCAAAAUCUUAUUCGCUUCUUAGUGAAUAUUUCACUAAUGAAAAAAUAGAGGUUUUAAUCCUGCACUGCUACCACAGAAUGAUCCUCAGGAAAAAAGCUUGAAGGGACAAUGUCCGAAUCGCUUGGGACAGCUCCGUCAACUGGCCUUCCGGUCAUGCCUUUGGCCCAUACGGCCCGAUUGCGAUCCGCCACCGUAGUGGAACUGGAAAUCCAGCGGCUGGUCCAGCUGACACCGAGCUGCGUUGCCCACUUACCCGAGGUCCUCUACCGUGUCACGACGGACAGCAUCAUAUCAAAUAUGAUUGAUCCGGUGAAAGCCCUGGCAUACUUUUUUCCGCCAGCAUCCGCUUCACCCCCAACACGGCUCAAUUGGCCGUUUGAUGCCCAACUCGUAUCCGUCGUACACCUGGGUUGCAUCAUCGAGUUCGUAACUAUUCGUAGCUAGCCACCCACCAGCUCGUCUGCAAUGUGCAGACCGACUAGUUCACGAACGAGCAAGAUCACACCCAAGACGACGA